CGGGGAACGAUAACGGCGUCGAGCGGCGGACGGGUGAGUAAUGCCUAGGAAAUUGCCCUGAUGUGGGGGAUAACCAUUGGAAACGAUGGCUAAUACCGCAUGAUGCCUACGGGCCAAAGAGGGGGACCUUCGGGCCUCUCGCGUCAGGAUAUGCCUAGGUGGGAUUAGCUAGUUGGUGAGGUAAGGGCUCACCAAGGCGACGAUCCCUAGCUGGUCUGAGAGGAUGAUCAGCCACACUGGAACUGAGACACGGUCCAGACUCCUACGGGAGGCAGCAGUGGGGAAUAUUGCACAAUGGGCGCAAGCCUGAUGCAGCCAUGCCGCGUGUGUGAAGAAGGCCUUCGGGUUGUAAAGCACUUUCAGUCGUGAGGAAGGUGGUGUAGUUAAUAGCUGCAUUAUUUGACGUUAGCGACAGAAGAAGCACCGGCUAACUCCGUGCCAGCAGCCGCGGUAAUACGGAGGGUGCGAGCGUUAAUCGGAAUUACUGGGCGUAAAGCGC
rnacentral:rRNA from 1 species